GACGAACGCUGGCGGCGUGCUUAACACAUGCAAGUCGAACGGAAAGGCCCUGCUUUUGUGGGGUGCUCGAGUGGCGAACGGGUGAGUAACACGUGAGUAACCUGCCCUUGACUUUGGGAUAACUUCAGGAAACUGGGGCUAAUACCGGAUAGGAGCUCCUGCUGCAUGGUGGGGGUUGGAAAGUUUCGGCGGUUGGGGAUGGACUCGCGGCUUAUCAGCUUGUUGGUGGGGUAGUGGCUUACCAAGGCUUUGACGGGUAGCCGGCCUGAGAGGGUGACCGGCCACUUGGGGACUGGAAAACGCCCCGGACUCCUAGGGGGGGCAGGGGGGGGGAAUUUUGCACAAGGGGCGGAAGCCUGAUGCAGAAACGCCGCGUGGGGGAUGACGGCCUUGGGGUUGAAAACCGUUUUCGCCUGGAACGAAGCGUGAGUGGCGGUAAUGGGGAAAGAAGCAGCGGCUAACUACGU
rnacentral:rRNA from 1 species